AGCUAACUGGAUUCACAAAUGUGUCAUUUGUGAUAACGUAAAGGAAAAAUAUGAUGUUACUUUACUAUUAGUGUUGUCUAAACCUGGCGUCAGUAGACUCGGUAAGGCCAGAGACGCGAGCGUUAAUCAUCUUGAUCAGGCGUAAAGGGUUUGUAGGCAGCUUUAAAAUUAAUUAAAGCUUGAAUUUUAUAGAGGUCACCGUGAGAGAACUCUUGGAGUAGGGUUGAUAUCCGUAAAUACUGAGAGGAAUUCUAAUUAGCGAAGGCUCUUUUCCAAAUAAAAAUUGACGCUGAGAAACGAAGGUGAGGAACGACAAUAGGAUUAGAUACCCUGGCAUCCCUCUCUGUAAACGAUGAAUGGUAGUUGCUAGUUUAAAUUAGCUAGUGGCGAGGUAAACACGUUAACCAUUCCGCCUUGUGAGUA
rnacentral:rRNA from 1 species